AGAGUUUGAUCAUGGCUCAGGAUGAACGCUAGCUACGGGCUUAACACAUGCAAGUCGAGGGGCGAGCAUGUUGGUUGCUUGCAACCAAUGAUGGCGACCGGCGCACGGGUGAGUAACGCGUAUCCAACCUACCCUUGUCCAUCGGAUAACCCGUCGAAAGGCGGCCUAACACGAUACUGCGGUUCACAGCAGGCAUCUAAGGUGAACGAAAUGUGAAGGAGAAGGAUGGGGAUGCGUCUGAUUAGCUUGUUGGCGGGGUAACGGCCACCAAGGCGACGAUCAGUAGGGUUCUGAGAGGAAGGUCCCCCCANAUUGGAACUGAGACACGGUCCAAACUCCUACGGGAGGCA
rnacentral:rRNA from 1 species